UGAAGGGCCGAGGCUGGGGGUCCCUUUCCCCUUAAAGUCGCCAGAUUCCAGGCAGAGCUUCUUGGAGGGCCUAUCCGUCCCGCAGCGGUGGCUUCCUUCGAAGACCUGAGCUGGGAUUGGGUUCAAGGGAUUCUCUCUUGUGGUUAUCCAGGGCUGAAGGAGACUGGCGGGUUGCGACGUGGAGAUAAGUCACGGAUCGUGGGGCCAGGUGCAGCUCACGAGGCACAGCCGAAAGGCCAAGAGCAGGCAGCAGGGUAUGAAGAGCUUGCCCCGGGGCUCGCGGGGACUCCUCCUGCGUUCCCAGUAUGCCAGUACCCCAAAGUGCCCUGCAUUUGCUCUUUGAACAAAGUUCUGUUUGUUGAUGGACUGACCGGCUUACUGACGUAAAGAUGAGGAGCAAACAGAGGGACAGAUCAAGGCCCUUCCUCGACGCCUGGAGGAAGCUGGGGCCAGUGCUCUGGACGCCAGCCCCCGCUCGGGAGAGGGUCUGGAAACCGCGACAGCGUCUCUGCGGAAGGCUCCGGAUCCG